rnacentral:rRNA from 1 species
UACGUAGGGGGCGAGCGUUGUCCGGAUUUACUGGGCGUAAAACGCUUGUAGGUGGCCACGCCAAGUCGGAUGUGAAAUCUCCCGGCUUAACUGGGAGCGGUCAUUCGAUACUGGCGGGCUCGAGGCAGGUAGGGGGAAGCGGAAUUCCCGGUGUAGUGGUGGAAUGCGUAGAUAUCGGAAGGAACGCCGGUGGCGAAAGCGAUCGACUGGACCUUUUCUGACGCUGAGGCGCGAAAGCCAGGGGAGCAAACGGG